rnacentral:rRNA from 1 species
UACGUAGGGGGCUAGCGUUGUCCGGAAUCAUUGGGCGUAAAGCGCGUGUAGGCGGCCCGAUAAGUCCGCUGUGAAAGCCCGGGGCUCAACCCCGGGAGGCGGGUGGAUACUGCUGAGCUCGAGUCCGGAAGAGGAGUGUGGAAUUCCUGGUGUAGCGGUGAAAUGCGCAGAUAUCAGGAGGAACACCAAUGGCGAAGGCAGCACUCUGGGACGGUACUGACGCUGGGACGCGAAAGCGUGGGGAGCAAACAGG